rnacentral:rRNA from 1 species
AUGGGAGACGGUAAGAAAUCCGGCUCCGGUUUCUGGUCGGUGGUGGCGUCUUGGUUUGCUUGCUUUCGCCCACCUAAGAUCAAGGCGGCGAGCACCGGCGGCCGGACCACCACGUAUGAAUAUGAUCCAGCCGGCGGGAUGGUGGCGGCGGCCAGACAUUUCUCCAGUGCUCACAAAAUAAACUUUGGAUGA